ACUGAGCGGCGGACGGGUGAGUAACGCGUGGGUAACCUGCCUCGUACAGGGGGAUAACAGUUGGAAACGGCUGCUAAUACCGCAUAAGCGCACAGUACCGCAUGGUACCGUGUGAAAAACUCCGGUGGUAUGAGAUGGACCCGCGUCUGAUUAGGUAGUUGGUGGGGUAAAGGCCUACCAAGCCGACGAUCAGUAGCCGACCUGAGAGGGUGACCGGCCACAUUGGGACUGAGACACGGCCCAA
rnacentral:rRNA from 1 species